UCUGAGCCGUUACAGUUACAGCAGCAAUCUGUGAGGAAUAUUGGGCCCGGUUAAAGGUGUUGCGAAGUUUCUGUCCUCGAUUGAACGUCCUGUAGUAUAGGUAGUGCUGAUGAUAAUAGAUAAAAAAAAUAUAACUGCAGAAAGUUCUUCCUCUGUCAUAAACCGAAAUCCAGGAUCUCCUUCAUCCUGCUCAAACCAUUCUUGGAUAUAGUCCUGAGUUGUAUCAGUCUCUCCAGCUGCCCUCAACACAGUCUGAAAGUCGUCUUGAUCCUAAAUUACCAGUGUCUUUUAAAGUAUGUACUCAUCUGUGAACAGAAUAUUUCAUAUUUCAAUAUGGAUUAACUGAAACUGGAUUAGCGAGAAUUUAGGCAGUGUCUACACGAGUGCACAAAAUGCGUCCGUUGUAACAAACGUACUUUGCUGAGGACACCACACAGUUGGAGAAUGCAGUGCAUAGUUUUUUGUCUGCAGUGGAGCCAGAAGAAAGCAUAGCAUUCGCCUCUCUUGUUUAUAUCUACAACGGAUGUCACGAUGUUCGUUACAACAGAAGCCUUCUGUGUGCUUGUGUAGACGCUACCUUACUGUAUGUUUUAACACAUGACACUACCUGUUCUCAAAUAAUGCAUUCUUCACAAAAUCGGUAUAAAUGAAUUUCCAUACACAAUACUAGGCAGAAAGACAGGAGAAGUAGUACUCUGUCCCUCUGAAUUUUUAUAUGUUGAUUUUAAUGUGCGUGUCUGACCAGUGGAGUUGUAUAAAUGUGAUAAUGUUCAGUUGGUGGAAGCCUUUGUCAGGCAGGCUUCACAUACUUUGUGCAAUUUUUGUUUCUAUUCUUUGUUACAUCAGUUCAUUUUCAUGAUAACAAAACUUUUGUGCAGGAAAUACAUGGCAAGGUUACCAUUUUAAAUUGCUCUAAUGAUAUUCUUUUAUAAAUAUAUUUUAAAGAAAAUUAAGUGAUAAAUUGUAUACACAGUAAACUUCACUGUAUUAUAUUUGCAGAGAGAGAGUACCAUAUAUUGGAUCGGAGGAAUGUAGAAGUGAAUGGCCAAUAUGUUCCGCAUCAGACGGUCCAAGUUACAUAUGUUGGUAUGAGUUAUACAGUGAGACAUUAACUCGUGUAACCAUGUUUAAUAUUUUGUUGUUUGUUCAUUAAUUUACUAUAUAUAUGACGUGAGCAAUAGCUCUUAGUAAAUUGGCAGUCACCAGAUAUUAUCAGUGUGCUUGUAAUUAUACAAUGGAAAUUCAAAGUGUGGGAAUGUGCACAUCCUCAUAUACUUCGAGGCUGAUAAAUGGUAAUCUUGCUGUGGACAGAACGUAAUGGAAAGCUUGUAAGUGUUGACAGAACAUAAAUACCCUCAUUUUGAAACGAAAGCAUUUAAGACAGUUUUAGAGACAUCUGGGUGACCUGCAUGUUGUGAAGCUCCUGUUGAGAAUUAAACAAUUGGAUUAGAUUAUUUUUAACUCUUUCUUUAUUGUCAAUUUUACCGACCAAGCGACCACUGAUUGUCCGCAAAUUUAAGUGCCAACUUAGCGGAUAGAGGGAGUCGUGUGGUCAGCACAACGAAUCCCACGGCUGUUAAUAGUUCACUUGCAGACUACAAUCAUGGAGUUUUUUUUUUUCUUGUCAAAUUUGAAUGUCCCUUUACAUAAAGACAUUCCUGUUCUUCGAAAUGUAGUAUUUAUCUUGAGUGAAGAUAUGCAUGCAUAACAAACCCACACAUACAUUGUUUAUCCUCUCUGGAUACCGGUCUUCUCUUAUUACAGACUGAGUCUUGUGAGUUCUGAUGAUUUAUGGAUAAAGGAAAGUUUGCAUUGAUGCAUCUAAAUUGCAAAUGUUACUGGAAGUGUUCAUGGAAUUUAUUACAUUUAUUCUGUGUGAACAUGGAUGACAACAUUUGUGACAAGAAAAUUAUGUUUUCAAGGCCCAGUCUGAAAGAAGCCUGACUGGGUAACAAUCAAAUCUAGUGUGUGGCUUAGCAUAGGUAGAAAUUAUACUGAACUUUAAUUAUUUUUCCGAAAUUCUCUUUGCAAAUGCGUCACAGAGUAGAGUGGCCAUACCCCCUGGCCACUGUGACCCAGAAAUGUUAUUUGAGGCUUAUUUUAUUGCAGAACAGUGACUCUGAUAUUAGGUCAUCUGCAGUACAUCCCCACCAUUGCCAAGAAAUGAAGCAGGAAUUGUCAUCAAGUAUUAAUUACCACCAGUUGUCCAAAUAUUUUUUCCUUUCCAGUAAAACUUUCUUUACUGCAUGAAACUAUAUACAUGCAAACAAACUUUGAGGUUCCUAUCACUGACCACUGCUACUACUGGUACGCAAAUGUUGUUCACUUAAUGUCACAUUAGCUGGUGUGAGGUUACCUCCAACACUGAAUUUUGGCUUGUGGGCUUUGUCACAUUAGCUGGUGUGAGCUUACCUCCAACACUGAAUUUUGGCUUGUGGGCUUUGUCACAUUAGCUGGUGUGAGGUUACCUCCAACAUUGAAAUUUAGUUCGGCUUGUGGCCUUGUGUAUUGAACUUAUUUAUUGCCAUGAAGCUGAAAACUACAUAUAAAUUCCAUGCAGUAACCCCCCCCCGCCCCCCACGCCUCCAAAGAACACUAAAAGUUCUUUUUACCAUACAUAAUGUCAUGCUACUCUAUUAAGUGUCACUCCCAUCUCACAAGUUUGUGCGUCUGUCAUGUUACUCCUGCCACUUAGUAUGCUGGGCUGACCUGUAUUAUCAUAAUAUCCAUACCAAAUUUCAGGAAACUUGGUCAGCUGGUUCAAAAGUUUAAACGGAGGAGACACAUACAGACAGCAUGGCGAUCUCAUAAGCCUGCCUUUUUCCUCAAGGAAGGAAAGUAGGCUAAUAAGGGAUGCAACACUCUUUAUCCUCUGUUGUUAAUAUUCGUAGGUUCUUCAGUCACUAACAUCAAACUUCCCUUAUAAUUAUAGGUUCUAUGUCGGUCUUCUUUCAUUCACGGAAGGAUCAGUUUAUAAUUUUCUGAUGUCUUGGUUCAUAUGUUUGGUAAUAAUUAUCUUUACUCUUCUUUAUUUUUCUGACUCCUUCUGUUACUGAUAAUAAUAACAUGACCUUUAUAUCUAAUCUUUUAUCUUUGAAAGCGAGUACGUAUGAUACUGUAUUUUACUAUUACAGAAUUGUCAUUAAAUCUUUAGCUAAGGCUCUAAAGUUAAAUUCUGUCUUUUAGCAAAACUUCAUCCAGUGACUUUGAAGCUGAAGAAUGAACUGAAUGAUAGCCUGUAAUCUUACCAUAUACAAGUUGGACAAAACGUUAAAUGUGCUUUGUUUUGGAACAUGAAUGUACAAUUUGUGUCUUGCGUACAUUUUGUUUUCCUGAAUACUGCGUGUUUCAUAUAUACAAAACAACAACAGGUUGGUUCCAUUUUUUUGUGGUAUCCACACACAUUCUGCAUAGGCCAAACAAGAUUUUGAAGGCAAUUCAAACCAUGAGAAACAAAAUUUUAUAUUUAUUCAUGUCUGUUCAUUUCCAUGCUUCAGACUACUACUAAAAUGAUGAUUUAGAAGCAACUUAUAUGCGAUGCUUAGCCAAAGAAAACAUUUUAAGUGGUAGCGGGAUAAAUGGAGGUUUUAUUUUACAUACAGUUUUGCCUUGUUACAAGUCCAGUAUUGUUGCUUCUCAUUUAACAUCAGAUUCCUACCAGGGUCCCAGAAAUAUAAAGUUGCUAUACACUGAAGAAGAAUGUUGUAUAAGCCACACAACCUGUGGUCACUCAGAUGUAUUCUAACAUACGAGGCUUAUCUGGUCAUAUUGGAAUAAAAUACAGUUAUCCAGGCCUUGUGAUAUAUAUUUACAUUUUGAAACCCAACUCAUGAUCAUUUCGGGUACAUAUAAGAAGCCAAAACAUCUUUAAGUGGGUUUUUACUUGUAACAAUUCAUCAAAAAUUUGAAAAUUAUUGAGUUUAUGGAAUUGUGAUCAGGAAUAGCUUGUGGUAAAAGAUUAUGAUGAAGCAAUGCUAUACAAAAAAGAAUAUUGGAAGUAGCGAAUACAUACCUGUUUGAAAGUCCCACAUGAAUCAAAACCAGUGUAAUAGGUAGAUAACUAAGUCAGAGAAGCAGAAUCAUUCUUGAGAUGGUAAUAUUCUUGGCUAGUCAAGAAAUUCCUCACCUAAAAAUGUAACCCAGAGUUUCAGUACUGUGUGUCACAAGGACAUGGUGUAUUGGUAUUUGUACUGUGCUCUUGUAGAAAUCACCAACAGAGUAUUAUAAAGAUACCAGUAAGACUAGAGUUACCAUAUCUUAACCAGUGAAGCCCACAGAUAUUUUCCACUAAGCAAUAAUAUUUAUUUAGUUUAGAAGAGCACAUCAUAAUGUGGUAUUCAUUUUCAAGUGUUCAGUAAAAUUCAUUUUGAAUUAAAACAAAUCAGGAGUAUUAUUACAUCAGAAUUUCAGGUAUCUUAUGGUAAUCACAUUAAUAUCAAAAGGAAGUGAAAUGAGAGCAGUCAUAGCCAUCAAAAGGAAGUGAAAUGACAGCAGUCGUAGCCAUCAAAAGAAGUGAAAUGAGAGCGGUCGUAGCCAUCAAAAGGAAGUGAAAUGAGAGCAGUCAUAGCCAUCAAAAGGAAGUGAAAUGGGAGCAGUCAUAGCCAUCAAAAGGAAGUGAAAUGAGAGCAGUCAUAGCCAUCAAAGGGAAGUGAAAUGAGAGCAGUCAUAGCCAUCAAAAGGGAGUGAAAUGAGAGCAGUUGUAGCCAUCACUGAAGAUACUUGUGAGCCAAGGAUUUUAGAUGCUUCAAUAUAAAAUUCUCGGUAUUGUAGCAUAGGAAAUUUUGUAACUGCAAGUAAAGCAUGCUUGCUUGUACACACCUUUGAAUACUGCACUGAAUAAGAGAUGCACUUGAGUGUCUGGAAGACCAUCAGUUUUCUCAGUGUUGUUUCAGUGCAUACUUUGAAAUAAAAGAACAAGAACAUUCUCUAAGUUAACUGUUCCUGUAUUGAUUAUCAACAAAAAAUAUAGGCUUCAGAUGAAAGCAAACAUGCCCUUACAUUUUCUACUUUUGUUCUUAUGGCUAGCCACCAUUUACAAGUGUCGACUCUCGACUUUUCUCUUUUGGUUUCAGCUAUGUUGCUGGCAUUCUCCAGCACUGUCAUUCUUGAUUCCAGGCCUUGUCAGUCUCUUGAUUCAGAUUAACUUUGGGUUUUUGUAAAUCGGUGCUCGUUUUCACCAGCACAGCCACCAUGGGACCCUUGAGACCAUAUUCUCUCUCUAUCUCUUGUUCUCUUGGUUGUCAUUAUAUAUUUUUGGCACAGACUGCAUGGAAAAUGCUGCUUCAAAAAUAUUUAUCGUUACGUGUUUAUUUGUUGGCACAGGAAUGUGUUUACGAAGCUGUUGCCUAGCAGCGGACGUCUUGUCUGUCUCCCCUAUUCCAGCCCUCAGGCGUCAUCACAGUGCCCCCUCUAUAAGGCUGCUUAUCCUGAGCAGCCCCCCCAGAUGUACUGCCAUUUCCUCUGUCUUGAGGGUGUGUGCCAGCUAGGUCCAUGAUCACCCUCACGAAGGCUUUGCAACAUCAGACUGGUCUCAACACUUCUUCCUCCAGUUUUGAUGGCACCCAGUCCUCAAUCCUCAUGCUGAUGUUCUCCAGCUGCUCCGUCCUUAGAGAGCUCAUCUUGACACUUCCCUGGUAAGGUACUAGUCAGUCCAGACAUGCUACCAUCCCUUUCAUUCGAGUGUGUCCCUGAAUCAUGUGCACUGCAUUAUUGCUUCUGGGGACUACCCUUCAUGGGCCUUCCCACAUCAGUCGUGACUUCCACUUAGUGCAGUUUGGGUGGUAUAGCCACACUUGGUCACCCUCCUUGAAGCACAUGGAGUUGACCAGGCAAUCUUGUGACUUCUUUUCACUCUGUUAACUGACCUGCUUCAGGUGCUUGUGGAUAUAAUGGUGUACGUCAUGUGGCCAAUCCAUGUAGUCAACAGUUGGUUGCAUGUUGGGUGGCCAUCUUGAAAAGCAGGUUACAGAGCAGGAAGAGUUCUCUCCCAAAUGAUAGGUUAUAAUGUGACUGUUGUGCUGAAUUAGAGUGCAGACUUCUUAUAUGGGACAAAAUCUCAUCCUCAGUUGGCUCCCGCUCCAUAGGUUCACCUUUGGUUUCUCUUUCACCUUUGUUAGAUAAGGAUGAUCUGGUGCAGAACCCUCAUCAUCACUGAUGUACAUGCUAGAUGUAUUUAUAUCACAUGAUAGGCUUCUGUCUACUGAUUCAAGAUCUACUCCUUCCCUAGUCAUUAGGUGGUAGUGGCGAACCAUAAACUUUGAGCUCUGACUUGACUCAUCUAUCUUGUUGGUCAGGCCAGUCCGGUAAAUUGCUAAUGGCUUUCACCAGCAUGACCAUUCUUGGUUCCAAGUCCUGCAGGACUCAUGAUGACCAUAUUUUUUCUGACUCACAAGUCUGGGACUCACUUUUCUCUUAACUUCUCAUGUUGGCCCUCAUUAUAUGGCCUUAGCAUGGACCAUGGGGAAGUGUUUUUUGGGCUGUUGCCUAGUAGUGGAUGUCUCAUCUGGCUCUCCUAUUCCAGUUAGUGUCCUGUUACAGUAGCAUUAGCGUUGUAAAAACAACUGACAAAUUGUCACACAGCUGAAAUAAUUUUUCUUGGUUUACGUGUGGCUGUAUAGCAUUCCACUUACCCACACUGUUAGUACUGGAAGGAUAAUAUUUGAAUAUAAUGUAUGCUCAGAUUUAGAAAACAGAAAUUAUAAAGGGAAGAGGUAUGCGCUAUUCUAAUGGUGCAUGGUUUAUUUUGUUGUGGCUUUGUUUUAAAAAUGUGUUCUUGGCAUUUUUAUUAACGGCCUCAUUCACCACCUUGUCUCCAUGUGCACAUUUAUCACUGCUAUGUUAAUUCACAAAAAAGAACUAUUUCCAAUUGAUUGUGCUUGAAUGUUAAAGUGAUAUAUACUCUUAAUCACUGAAGAUAUAGUAUACUGAAGCCCAGAUGGCAUGAAACUGUUAGAAGUUUAAAACUGUUGCAGAUGAAUUUUCUUUCAGUUCCAGAAAAUGUAGCUCUUCACAAAAGCCAAUGCUGGAAUUUUAAAUGUAUGAUCUCAUAACGAAGUCCUCAUAUGUAAAUGUCUUGUAUUAUGAAUAUUCCUCCUCACUUUUCCUUUGCUCAUGUGAUGAAGGCAGAAAAUUCCUCCAGAAUUUCAGAAAUUUCUUUUAUAACGCAGUUUUUAACUUUUCUUAAUUAUAGUAAUGUGAGUAGCAGUUAGAGAAGUAUGCAAUAUAUAGCACAUACAGUACUGAUUUUUAUUUAGAGUAUGUGGUUUGAAUUUUAUUUCUGUUCCCUGGUUCUACCAACAUUCACACAAAAUUUAAUUCUUUGCAGUCUUUUUUUUUCUCUUCUUUUUUUGCAAACAGUGGGACGAGAAUGUUGAUAACUAUUGCAAUGUAUUCUGUUUGAAAGGUCCUGAGUUGGGUGCUAAACACCAUUUUGAAAAGGUGUAUGUAAUGUACAGUGUUGUUUUAUAUAAGGAAGAAUUUGUUUUGUUUUUAAGGAAGAAUGUCAGAUUACUGUGUAUGUACUAUUAUAUAUAUAAAAGAGGUCUAUAAUUACAGAGGUAUAGAUAAGAGAACUGUCCAGUCUUUUGAGGAUGCAGCUAAGUCGAAGAUGAAACUAAUCAAGGAAACAACAGAUAUUUUUAAAAUUUGUAUUCAUCUCCUUUCUUUCAGAAAUACUGCUAUUAUUUCUUGUUGACUAGAAAGUCUCCCUUCUUGGCAUCUUCUCUCGUGUACUAAGUGUUCCAUAAACAGCAUUGAAAAUGCGUGGAUGUUAAAAAAACAGCGCUGUUACAUUAGUGUGUUUCUAAUGUAACUUCAUUAUCUAUAAAUAGCUCGAUAAUGUCUUGUAUAGUAGGCAAACCUUGGUUUCCAAUCUUUGUUGUAAGUAAAGGAGCGUCCAUUUACAAAAAAGAAUAGAAGGUAAUUGUGUUUAUAUUCUGUAAUCAGUGACAAUGCUAUGUAAUAUAUUCAGCUGUGUUAUCAGCUUUGUCUUGACAGGAUUCCCAGUGGAAUGUUUUGAAGAUAAGACGGUCAUGAUUUCAAGGGAAUGUGUAACUGAGAGCAUGAGUGGUUGUAAUGGUAUCCUUUGAUGUUAUCUGAGGUGGUUUUUAUUUAUUCUGAAGAUAAUAGGAAAUUUUGAAAGUAUCUGAAGUCUGUUGGACAGAUACAAAAUGCCAUGCCGUGAUCCAUCUCCGUGAAUUAGUUUGUUUUGGCAGAGGAAUUUGAGUUAGUCUGUUGAUUGUGGAAGAAUAUGAAUGGCAGUGUUAUCUGACAGGUUAGGGUAGUUUUUUUUUUAACAUUUUAAAUGAAAAUGAAUUAAUGUAUUUAGGAAUUUAAAUACGUGCAUAUGAGAUUAAAAUUAUUUAUAUGUGUAUAAAAUAAUUAUAGCCUGUUGCUUUGUAUCAUUUCAGAAUAUGAUCCAUUGAGCUGAAGGAACAACAGAAAUUGUCAGUUUCUUAAACAAAGUGUUAAUAAAACAUACUUAGAAGCAAGACAUGUAAAUGGAUUUGAAGUGCGGAAUAUCAGAUAUUUCAAGCUUUGUAAAUUUCUUUUUCAACCUAUUGUUAAAUCAGAGACAUUGUGAUAAUUCAAACAUAUGGUUUGGAUGAAGGAUACAAACACAAAAUUUCAUGGGGGAAAUUGCUUGAAAUGUGGCAACGUGGAAGUCUUCCGACAGCUUAGCCCAUAGGAAAAUUGAAAAGGGAUAUCCUUUUAUAGUCCAUAGAUCACUUGGUACUGCCAUACCUUUAUAAAAUUUUAAGGUAUACCAUAGGUUGGCAUGUUUUAUUAAUACGUAAAUAAUGGAAUUAUAAAUUUAGGAAGAUGUAAUAUUUGGAAAUGUUGUGGUUGUAGUAAGCAAAUAGUUGCACAUA